UACGAAGGAUCCUAGCGUUGUCCGGAUUUACUGGGUUUAAAGGGUGCGUAGGCGGACUUUUAAGUCAGUGGUGAAAGCCUGCAGCUUAACUGUAGAAUUGCCAUUGAAAACUGAUUGUCUCGAGUGCGGUUGAGGUCACUGGAAUAUAUCAUGUAGCGGUGAAAAUGCUUAGAUAUGAUAUAGAACACCAAUUGCGAAAGGCAGGUGACUAAGCCGUAACUGAC
rnacentral:rRNA from 1 species